CCGAACACUUGCCAGUAUGCCAACCAUUGCCAUGCCUCGAUCUUAACCUGUAAAAUUAUUUGUAGGGAUGAGUACUAUAAAUAAUACUCAGUAGGAAACACUUAAGUAAACGGUAAAAAUAUAUAUUUUCAGAAAUGCAAACUUUGGUCAAUUGUGUCACUGUCAAUUUCAAGCGAAUUGAUGAUCAGUCAGUCCGCUUACUCUUAGGUUUUGAUAACCCCAUUUCAUUUGUCAUAAUCAUCUCUUCAUCUCUUGUUUAAACCACUAAACGGUGAUUCCAUCAUGAGCAACACAAUAACACAUUUAAUGCAAACGAAAAUAUAUAAAUCUUACAUUACUUACAUAAGUGCCGAAACACCCCUACCUUAAUGCUUGGAAUUUGAAAUAUCCUUUCAUGUCCAAAGAAUAAAAUGCAGCGUACAUCUUGCCCUUUUCUUAGAAGUUUUCAGAUUCAAAGUUCUUUUUGUCUAUGAAAGAAGGGGCAAAAUAAUUUGAUGCAAUAAGGAUAAUAGGGAGAGAGAGAUAGUGGCCGUGUAGAAU
rnacentral:lncRNA from 1 species